CACCGCGGCUCGAUUUCACACAAGAAAAUGACUCAUCUUGAAGCUCAAAUGGCGCGAAGCUUGAUUGGAAUCGAAGAUCGGGUUGAGCGACUGGGUCGGAUCGCCCAAUGUUUGACACGCGGAUCCUUGAAAUGGGUUAAAAGGAACCCAGUUUCGUUGGCUAAAACGACACCAUUUUAUUGGUCCUAUACAAGCCUGCUCUUAAGCUUUUCUCUUCAUUUUACCGUUUCUUCCUUUCUCUUUACAACUUUCAUUCUAUCUUUCUAUUUCUAGGGACAAAAGAACCUAGUCGAAAACUUUAAAGGUUUCCAGAUUCUUGCGUCGGUGUCGUCGUUCUCCGCCACCGUGCAACGAUUGAUCAAGCCAAAAUUUUUUCCAUCGUUACUUCUUGCUCUCAUCGUCUCGAAUAUGAGCUUAUUUUUUUGUAAAUCGUUUCCUAAAGCUCCACGUCUUCACCUUUCGAAUUUUUCAGAAGUUAUGUCGAUCGUUGCCUGUCAUCCUUGCCACCAGGGGCAACUGACUGACGAUGGUCCGAUAAAACCCCAACGGUGAUGAGUUGUUGGUCGAUGGGUGGGGAUGGUGUUGAAGGAUAGCUCAACACGGAAUCAAUUAACUGGGAGGUGAGCUUCGUGAAUUUUUAUGUUCUGUGGUCUGCUUGUGAUUACAUUAUGGGAAUCACUUUACAGGGUGUUGGGUUUUGGCUGACAAUGGCAUAAGGCUUUUGAGUCUGUGAUUUUGAUGAAGGCGAAGUCAAGCAUUUGGCUUGACAAAUUGGCAUUGACGCUGCCAGAUUCAGAUUUUUCUGUUUGUUGAUGGAAUUGCUUCUGUUUAUUGAGUGAUUUGUGGUAGUUGGAAUAGGAAUUGAAAUUAUAGUUUUUUUGGUUUCCUGUUACUCGAAUGGUGUAGCUCUCCUGAAUGGCUUCUUCCUGCCUGAAUGUUGCUACGUAAUUGGAUGCUAGGUUUUAUCUCUGUGUUUAUGCUACUGACAAUAGUGGUUGUUGAGGGUAAGUUUAAGACGAGUAUGGCCUUGACUGGUGAUGGAGACAAAAUUGAAUUUCAAGGCUAGGCUAUUGAUGAUGUGGAUUGCUAAUGGUGAGAAGGAUGAACAGUGUGAAAGAUGGUGGCAAAAUUGGCUUCGUGGAAACUGGUAGUGCCGUGUAUUUCAAUUUUUCCGUUUAUUUCUAUUGAUUCUUCUGUUAAUUUAUAGGAUUAAACUUAAGAGAAUUUCAAAUCAAUCAUGAUUCUAUUUGCAUUAUCAAAGAGAAAUAAGAUUUUAUCUUCUGCAAGAUAAAUCUCACUCAAACUCUA